GCCUCCGUAGCAUAGUGGCUAUUGCGUGGGACUUGUAAUCCCAAGGUCGUGAGUUCAACUCUCACCGGAGGCU
rnacentral:tRNA from 1 species